rnacentral:rRNA from 1 species
UACGUAGGGUCCAAGCGUUAUCCGGAAUCACUGGGCGUAAAGCGUGCGUAGGCGGGCGUUUAAGUGCAAUGCGAAAUCUUGUGGCUCAACCAUAUAGACUGUAUUGCAUACUGGACACCUAGAGGACGGCAGAGGCAAGUGGAAUUACUGGUGUAGCAGUGAAAUGCGUAGAUAUCAGUAGGAACACCAAUGGCGAAGGCAGCUUGCUGGGCCGACCCUGACGCUAAGGCACGAAAGCGUGGGGAGCGAACAGG